rnacentral:lncRNA from 1 species
UUUUUCUUCUUCUAGCAAACACCUCAUAAGGAAUAAGGUCUCACAUUCCACAAAAUUAUCCAAAUUUGACAAGAUAUUCCUUUAACUCUUUCUUCUAUUUUCAGUUGAGUUCUUGAUGAUCAUUUCUAUUUUCAGUUAGCUUAUCAAACAAUAAUAUACUGUUUGAUAAGUUACAUUUCCUAUCACUGACCCUUUUGUACAACUAAUCUGGAUGACCAGCCUGAGGUGAGGCCCAGAAACAGAGCCCUUUUGUACAUAUUUCUUGCUAAAAUAUAUAAAUAUUAAAAAAAAA